rfam:Pestalotiopsis fici W106-1 unplaced genomic scaffold PFICI_Scf_12, whole genome shotgun sequence.
GGCGUUGUGGCAGAGUGGUCUAAUGCGCAAGACUAGAAUUGAUCCUAUAUCAUCCUAUCUUGUUUCUUCGGAAGCGUCUGUUCGAAUCAGGCCAACGUCG